UUAAACUGAUGAAUUUUAGUUUAGAAACGACUGGAAAUCUAACUGAGAUACCACACUUGACCAAGACGACAAACACCCAAAACUGUUUCUGUUCAUCUUGUUUUUGUCAUUACAAGACGUGAAAUACAAGAAUGCUGUAUGCAUCUUUCAGCCUUGGUAUUAAGUUUCCGCCCCUGGUUUUUUAUAUAUGUUAAUUAUGUAAGCCUGCGAAUUGCAGAAGCAGUUGACUAUAUUUUCUGCAAUUUCAUUUCAUGUUUAUGGCUUCUUUAGUACUUCUAUUGUCUGUCAUUUUUCGUGCCAAGAACCAAAAUCUUGCUUUUGCAGCAUCACUACCAUCUCCUUCUGGCAAAGCCAUUUUUUCAGAGAGCAAAGACCCAUUACCAGAUACCACUAACAAAUAUGGGCCGGAAAUCAUUUCUGAAGAUAUUGAGGAGUUGAAGUUUUGUAUAGAUUUAUCAUAGCUUUUGCUGCAGAUGUUACGAGAGAGAUUCUUCCACAACUAGGCCCAUGAUGAUGCAAAAGAUUGUACCAUUGGGUGCAUUUGGUAUCCCAGUAUGGGCUACAGGCUCACAGCCCAAACAAGAGAAUAACAACAUCUAGCAGAAGGGUUGAAGAAGAUAAAAGAGUUGGGACUGUCAGAGCAAUGAUUACAACAGCAAAAGCUGUGACAAGUUCCUGAAGAUAGGAAAGUGGAACUAUGCCUAAAUCUGAAUUCUUGAAUAGGAUAAAUUGACAAUGUUGUGCAUGUUUCCAUGUUAUCAUAUAACUUUAUAAUGUGUGUGUACAGAGCAUCACUUUUGUGUGUAUUUUAAUAUAAAGAAGAAUGAAGAAUUUGUGUUAUAAGUAAA